rnacentral:rRNA from 1 species
AUUGAACGCUGGCGGCAUGCCUUACACAUGCAAGUCGAACGGUAACGGGCCUGCGGGUGCCGACGAGUGGCGAACGGGUGAGUAAUACAUCGGAACGUGCCCGAUCGUGGGGGAUAACGAGGCGAAAGCUUUGCUAAUACCGCAUACGAUCUACGGAUGAAAGCAGGGGACCGCAAGGCCUUGCGCGGACGGAGCGGCCGAUGGCAGAUUAGGUAGUUGGUGGGAUAGAAGCUUACCAAGCCGACGAUCUGUAGCUGGUCUGAGAGGAUGAUCAGCCACACUGGGACUGAGACACGGCCCAGACUCCUACGGGAGGCAGCAGUGGGGAAUUUUGGACAAUGGGCGCAAGCCUGAUCCAGCCAUGCCGCGUGAAGGAUGAAGGCCUUCGGGUUGUAAAAUGCUUUUGUACGGAACGAAAAGCCUUCUUUUAAUACAGGAGGGUCAUGACGGUACCGUAAGAAUAAGCACCGGCUAACUACGUG